rnacentral:lncRNA from 1 species
GAGAUGUGGGCAUGAGUCCAAGUGUGGCGCAAGGAGAUAAGGAUAGAGUCCAAGUUGAUAAGGACUCUUCAUUUCUAAUAUGAUUCCAAUCCAAAUCAAAUUUGAAUUGAACCCACUGAUAGAAAUAAAACUAAUCUAAUUAGAAACUCAGAUAUCUCAUCAAAUUUCUAACUCAAUUAGGAAUUUGCCGAGUCUAAAUCUUGAUCGAAUCAUGAUCAAAUUUUUCUUAUAAUCAGGAUUGAUCAUAUCAAACCUAAUCUCAGUCGAACUGAAUCUAAUUCAAUUAGACUUGAUCCAAAACUCUUUACUCAAUCAAAUUGAGUUAAUUAAUAAUCUAAUUACUAAUUAAUUCUCUAUUAAUAGUAGAGUCUCACUCUCAGUGGGACUCUCCUCCAGAGUUUCAGUCUCAGUGAGACUCCUCACCAGAGUCACAACCUAAUUGGACCCUUCAGUAUCAGAUCUGAUCAAAUCUUUUAAUACGUGACCCCA